rnacentral:rRNA from 1 species
AGAGUUUGAUCAUGGCUCAGGAUGAACGCUAGCGGCAGGCCUAACACAUGCAAGUCGAGGGGUAACAUAGGAAAGCUUGCUUUUCUGAUGACGACCGGCGCACGGGUGCGUAACGCGUAUACAACCUACCUUUUAGCGGGGAAUAGCCCAGGGAAACUUGGAUUAAUGCCCCAUAGUAUAUAGACUUCUCCUGAAGUUUAUAUUAAACAUUUAUGGCUAUUAGAUGGGUAUGCGUCCUAUUAGUUAGUUGGUAAGGUAACGGCUUACCAAGGCAGCGAUAGGUAGGGGUCCUGGGAGGGAGAUCCCCCACACUGGUACUGAGACACGGACCAGACUCCUACGGGAGGCAGCAGUGAGGAAUAUUGGACAAUGGGCGAGAGCCUGAUCCAGCCAUGCCGCGUGCAGGAAGACUGCCCUAUGGGUUGUAAACUGCUUUUACAGAGGAAGAACCACCCCCACGUGUGGGGGUUUGACGGUACUCUGC